AGCGAACGCUGGCGGCAGGCCUAACACAUGCGAGUCGAACGAACUCUUCGGGGUUAGUGGCGGACGGGUGAGUAACACGUGGGAACGUGCCCUUAGGUUCGGAAUAACUCAGGGAAAGGGGUGCUAAUACCGAAUGAGGUCUUCGGGGGAAAGAUUUAUCGCCUUUGGAGGGGCCCGCGUCGGAUUAGCUAGUUGGUGAGGUAAAGGCUCACCAAGGCGACGAUCAGUAGCUGGUCUGAGAGGAUGAUCAGCCACAUUGGGACUGAGACACGGCCCAAACUCCCACGGGAGGCAGCAGUGGGGAAUCUUGCGCAAUGGGCGAAAGCCUGACGCAGCCAUGCCGCGUGAAUGAUGAAGGUCUUAGGAUUGUAAAAUUCUUUUACCCGGGACGAUAAUGACGGUACCCGGAGAAUAAGCCCCGGCUAACUUCGUG
rnacentral:rRNA from 1 species